AUGUUUUAUCCUAUACAUUACAAUGCCAUUCUGUAUUUAGUAUGCUCAGGAUCAUUUGAUCUGUCUUGCACUUGUGUUUUCUUUGUUGGUUCAGUCUUAAUGGUACUUAUCCUUAUAGUUACUUGGGAUUUUUGUCUAUCAUACCUUUUGACCUUUCAUUAUGUUAGUAUCUUUGACUUAUUCGGCAGUUACAUUGCAAGUUCGAGGAAUAUCAUUGGCACAGCAGAGAGGUUGCAAACAAGAAGACAGAAAAUAGCCUUUGCAAAGGACAAGAGGGCGACAACAAAAUUAAGAUUGCUUUCGUGUGUUUGUUGA
rnacentral:rRNA from 1 species